rnacentral:snoRNA from 1 species
UUGCAGACUGUUAAGCUGAUUGCACUCCUUCCCUCUUAGGCCUCCAUGUGUGAUGGCUACAAACAACAGCCUCUUUGGUGCAGCCUGUUGCUUUUAUGGGUUUUGCUGGCCCUAAGGACCCUA